ACACAGGCAUUAAAAAGGUCUCUCGGUCAGUUCAGGCUGACCACAGCUUUGUGAUGCAGUUGCAUUAAGUCAUAACCAUCCUGUUGUUUUCCUGUCUGGGAGCAAAGCACUUCAAGUGGAACACAGAGAAGAUCUGUUUAGAGUUAUGUAGGAGAGAGAAGCACAUCGAUUUCCUGAAGUUUCCCAGGACUUGGCAGAUUCAUCACAAGUAUUUCCAUAGUUUCCAAACCUAGUACUUCUGCCUACAUCACGUUUGUGAGACUCAACACUAGCUCUGGCCUAGCUUGGAGUUUAGAGAGAAUUUCCACUGACUUAUCAGGUGCUGCUCUGACAGCCACUGCUGUCAUUGAAGGAUGCAGCUCUUCUACUGCAGGGAUUGUUCAUUCACCUACUCCAGCAGGCUGGGCACUCCUAUAACUCUGAGGCAUAGAGAAGGACUAUUGUUGGUCUGCAAGAAGACACAGUUAAUCAUGACGUUUUGUGUCAAUUUCUUGAUCUACUUACAAACAGACAGUGAAGCUGAGUCGGCACUAGGAUCGCCCACAGGAUUUCCCAGGAGCUGCAGACAGUGAGAAGCAGCUCAUGGCCAUGGGUUCCCCAACUACCUGCAGUCCCCAUGCACUGUCUCAUUUGGGAUGGGAAUCAGAGGGCAGCAAGGUGAUGUGCUCAGCUGGAGUUUCUCCUGAACUGGGUAUUUUCAAGACCUCUUCUCCCAGAACAAAAGUUUCUGGAUUUUUCUUUUCAUCUCUAAUCAUGGCAUUUCCCUAUUCCCCUCCCUUCUCCCUUCCUUUUCCACAAAUACCACAUCUCCUCCAUAAAAUAGCCUCAGGGUUCUCCUAAGAGAGAUUUUUGUCUUUCAGUCAGUUCUAUUUUUCUCACCACUUGUGAAACCAGAGGGUAAGAUGAAGAGCACAAAGGCAAUUCGCUGCCAGGGCUGCAGGGACCAGUACAAAGGUGCUUGGAGGACGGCGGUUCAGCAGUCACUGUGGGAGCUGCCACUGCUGCCUGGGCUGUGGGAGCUCAGGUGCUGUGCUAAGGGCUCUGUCUUCAGCAUUCCUAAUUGCCAAACCCACCACAACUGAAGAACUGGAAGCACUGCCAUCCCUGCAAAUAAAGCCCAACUUCACUGAGUUUACACCUGUUGAGCAGCAACUGCCUAUAUUUAUUGGCAGUCCAGUGCCAAGCAAUUAGCUGCCUCUAAUAAACUGAAAGGAAAACCAAACACACAGGCAGUAAUAACUUCAGUUCUGAUCUGGAAGCAAGAGGCACGGUGCUUACAAUAGCCUUAUGGAACCCCAUUGAAUAAGCAGAAUAUGACAUUUUUGAAAUGAGAUAUUUGUAGCUCAAAGGUUACGCAUAGCUUUCAGACAUGCCCAGAUGAUCCAUCUUUCAUAGUUAAUCUUGGAAAUACAGAACUGCUUGCCAUCCUAUCAUCCUAUCCUCCUGCAGCAUUUUUUUUCUCUUUAAGGAGAGAGUGAAAUAUGAAAAUAUGUUAUCACGUUGUUUUUUACUCUUUGCUUACUGUAUAAGGAAUGAGUGAAAACAUCUGAAAACUAAAAUGGAUUUUGUCAUUUUCUAUUGUCUUUUAGGUAUUUUACCAGCUUUUGUAGUUUCGAGACCAAGCUGAUUUAUUGCAUUGUUCACUCAAACAGGAUAAAAAUAUGUGUAACCGUAUAAUUCUUCCCCUUCAAUUUCUGCAAGAGGCCACAGCAUUCAAUUUCUUUCUGAAUAAAGGAAUGAUUUGAGGC
rnacentral:lncRNA from 7 species